UACAGAGACGGCUAGCGUUGCUCGGAUUCAUUGGGCGUAAAGGGUCCGCAGGUGGCCUGCUAAGUCGGAUGUGAAAUUUCCGGGCCUAACCCGGAAUGGUCAUUCGAAACUGGCGGGCUCGAGGACUGGAGAGGAGACUGGAAUGGUCGGUGUAGCGGUGAAAUGCGUAGAUAUCGACCAGAACACCGGUGGCGAAGGCGGGUCUCUGGACAGUUCCUGACGCUCAUGGACGAAAGCCAGGGGAG
rnacentral:rRNA from 1 species